UACAGAGGUCUCAAGCGUUGUUCGGAUUCAUUGGGCGUAAAGGGCGCGUAGGCGGCGCGACAAGUCAGGCGUGAAAGCCCCGGGCUCAACCCGGGAAUUGCGCUUGAUACUGUCGUGCUUGAGGCCGGGAGAGGAUGGCGGAAUUCCCAGUGUAGAGGUGAAAUUCGUAGAUAUUGGGAAGAACACCGGUGGCGAAGGCGGCCAUCUGGACCGAGACUGACGCUGAGGCGCGAAAGCGUGGGGAGCAAACAGG
rnacentral:rRNA from 1 species